AUUGAACGCUGGCGGCAGGCCUAACACAUGCAAGUCGAGCGGAUGAAGGGAGCUUGCUCCUGUAUUCAGCGGCGGACGGGUGAGUAAUGCCUAGGAAUCUGCCUGGUCGUGGGGGAUAACGUCCGUAAACGGGCGCUAAUACCGCAUACGUCCUGAUGGUGAAAGUGGGGGAUCUUCGGACCUCACGCUAUCAGAUGAGCCUAGGUCGGAUUAGCUAGUUGGUGGGGUAAAGGCCUACCAAGGCGACGAUCCGUAACUGGUCUGAGAGGCUGAUCAGUCACACUGGAACUGAGACACGGUCCAGACUCCUACGGGAGGCAGCAGUGGGGAAUAUUGGACAAUGGGCGAAAGCCUGAUGCAGCCAUGCCGCGUGUGUGAAGAAGGUCUUCGGAUUGUAAAACACUUUUAGUUGGGAAGAAGGGCAGUAAGUUAAUACCUUGCUGUUUUGACGUUACCAACAGAAUAAGCACCGGCUAACUUCGUG
rnacentral:rRNA from 1 species